GUUUUGUCUGUGCUGUGAAGAAAGAGGAGUCAGUGCUGCGAGGAGCUGCCCAUGAGACAUCACCGAGAAGGUGGGUUUUCAGAUGCUCCAAGGAAAGUUUUAAAAUCAUCUAUAUGUACAAUUGUUUCUGGGAUAUCUCCUUUAUUCCAUGUAAAUCAGUCUGUUUAGUCACAGUAAAGUACUGAUUUUUAACAGGAUAGAGCUUUCAGCAGCAGUCCAGGAUCUCUGGGUUUUUCACACUCUGGAUGGACUUCCAGGGUGACUGGAGUUCAAGUCCUUUGCAUCUUAGAGACACCUCUUCUGUGAGCAGAUCUCGUUUUAAUGUACGGUUCAAAUGUAUGCCUGGAGCAAAUAAACACACAUCUAAAAAAGCUGGGAGCCUUGCAGUAGUAAUCCAAGCUCUUUGUGCCCUGGUGGCCCUGACUGUUCUCAGGCACCCCAAGUGUGGUCCUAGGCCAGGGAAGGGAAGAGCAGCAUCUCUCAGCGGUCUAGGUGGGCUCUGCAGCUGAGCCACUGCUUCACGUGGAGUUGUGGCUGCUGGAAAUUCAGGGAACCAAGCCUUUUCUGAGUGUGUGUUUUAAAUGUGUGGAGAGGAGAAAGCUACCCAGCUGUUCAAUUACAAACUUACUGCUGGUCAGAAAACCAAAUAUCUAUUCUCUCGGGUAGCUACAUUGUAUUCCAAUGUUUGAAGAUUUGGUUUCUGUUAUAAUUGGACUGAAAUAUUGGUAUUUUUUUUAGAGGAAUUCUCCUAUGCCUCCAUCUGAAUACUAGUUGAACAUGCUCAUCCAUAACUCAACAAUUAUUUCCAUGGCUCUGUUUGACUAUUUUUCAUUGAUCUUGGAGCAGUGAAUGAAGCACAGUAUGUGCUAAAUAUUGAUAUUGGUAAUGAUAUGCCAAUGUGUGGUAAGACAGAACAGUUUCAGAUGGACAUGCAGAACAGGGUCCAAAGAACACAGGAGAUUCCAACUAUGAGAAAUCUGAUAAGCAGUCCAUUUUCAUCAGUGAUUUGAGAUAAGUCCCUUUGCUUUUCUAAUUGUCAAUGCACAGCUCUUCUUGCAGUUGUGAGUGAGGAUCCCCAACUGCUACUUGGUUCUCAAUUUCUCACCUCUUUCUGCUCUGCUUCACAGAAAACCUGCAUAAUGCUUUGUCUUUGUACUUCUGCAGCUUGCACAAAAUUCACUUCAUUCUUGUUAGGUGAAACUGUUGAGGUCAGAACUCAGAAUACCUCCCAGGAAACAGAAGGCAAGAGAAAGGAGGGUGAUGCUGUCCUUAAUUCAAAAUCUGAUUUGGAACUCCUGGGUAGAAUUUUAGCUCCUUUUUCAGGAGAAAUUGAAAUAUGUUAUUGCAGGGAAAUGCAGAGAACAAGUUGUCAGGGGGCUUACUUGUGUGGGCCAGUCCUGUGUUUGCAUAGUUCAGGGUUGCAGGAAGGGAUCCAGCCUGUGCCAGCUGAGGGCCCAGGCAAGCCAGUGCGUUCCUGGCACUGAGAGACAGGCUCUGCUUCUCUGCACGUCCUUCUCUCUGCAAGGAAGUAGCUGCAGUCUCCUGCUGCAUGCUGGUGGGUACUGGCGCUAUACAGACCAAAAAACUGCAGGCAGCUGGAAAAAAUCACUUUCUUUUUAAUGCCAUUUUUUUUGUUAUUAUCAGUUAUGAGUGUUCUGGUUUGCAGGAAAGGGGAAGAAAUUGAAAUGGCUUUACACAUCUUUUGGCUGUCGUUUCUAGCUUGUUUUCUAAGGAAUGGUGUUAGUCUGUCAAACUUCUCUAAUUACUUUUGAACACAAGGAAUGUUUAUACGGCUGAGUUCAGUGGUGAUAGAGAUCCCAUCCCACAGUGGCCUUGUGUGGUAACUCUGAAAUCAAUAGGGACGCUUUGGGGUGUCCUGGCUGACAAGCAUGGUGUGAACCUCAGAGCAUCAUGACUGUGUAGCACUGGAGCAGCCUAGGAAGGUUUUGAGGAGACAAUGUGGGGAAGGAGAGCAUGGAUGGAGAGUUUGAUCCCUUAGGAGUGAGUCACAAGGCAGAAAGAAUUGGUUUUCUGCUCAGAGUACUUGAGCCUUUCCUGAGGAGUUUUCAGACUGUUAGAGACUCAUUGCUUGUCUAAUUGUUCUCCCAGAAUCAAUAGUUAAACUUGCAUUGAUUUCUGCUGACUUCUCAUGCUUGGGAUUCCAGCUCUACUGUGGAACUUGCGAUCUCGGUGUUUCACAGAGGCUUACCUGCCACAGCUGUCUGACACUUCCUGAAAUACUGAGGACAGCUUCCCUGAAAAGUGUGCAGGUUGGAAACAGCACUCCAGGUGCCUUUGUAGCCUUUGUAGGUGCUACCUGCCAGGCUGCUGUUUGUCCACCCAUUUUACAGAGAUAGCCUGUGCCUGGUGGGCUUAUUCCCACAUAUUCCCAGGUCUGCAUCUCAGAAUGGCCACUUGCUGCUAUCUCCUCAUUCUGACUAUUCCAAGGAAUUUUUAAUGAAAAUUUUUAUUUUAGCUGAAUUUUGACUAAGAUGAUUUUCCAAAGAAAAUUUUCUAUUUUAUUCCUUUUUAUGUGUCUGAUGUCUAGGUGCUGCUAUGUAUAUUUUCUUCUUUACUUGCAGUAUUUUCUAAAUUCACAUCUUCUUCAGCUCGUGACAACAAGAUCUACUGCCUAACACAUGAGCAAAUCUGCUGCAUUACCAUGAACAGGACAAUGGGGACCCAAUGAGUCACCCUAUUCAUAUAUUUUUGGAACCCAGAGGAAUUGGUUUGACUAUUUACAGAUUAUAACAGUUGAGGAAGAGCCUGAGGCUGGAGCUUGCCGAGAACACCAUGUGGAAAUGGAUUCAGCUAAAUGGCUCCCACUGGCUGCUUUAAAGACCCAAAGCCUGUGACCAUGUGAAAUGCAGGAAUGCAUAGUUUUGGCCAUCCCUUCAACCUCAGCUCCCCUGUAAGGCUGCCUCUCUCCUCACCAGGGUGCUUGUGUCUGCCACUGAAUGGAUGCUUUCCUUGGUUGUGGAGUUACUUACUCAGCUACAAGACUCACUGCCUAUCUCAAAUACCCAUUCUCAGUAGGCCAAAGAUAAAAGGAUUCGAUACUUUGGAGGAACUUUGCUUCACGUGGUUGUAAAAUCAGCAGAGGUGCUGGAAACACCUCUCAUUUUGUAUGGAGAGGUUCAGUCCUAUACCUGAUGGGGAGGAGAAAGCAUUGACUAGACAUUUUUCCAGUCCUUGAAGCAGUUUUGUUUGAGAGAAUGACAUUUUUCAUGCCAGACAGUUGGCAUCAGCUGUCAAGUUGGCUGAACUGGACAAGACAGAGAUGGAGACAUGCAAUGCUAUAUGGUGUCAUCAGAACUAAAGAUUAUGAAAUUAUUCUGCACAGAUUUCACCCCUGAAGUGAACAGAACACACCAGGGAUUUCCCAUGGCGAUGAGAGUCCCUGUUCCAGUUCAACUGAUUCAACUGGCCAUGUUGCCUUUUAUCCAGGUUCCUGUUUUCAUCACAUGGCAGGAGAUGCAGAAAGCACUAGGAAAACUACACCACCAGAGGGCAGCAUCCACAGUAGAACGUGGGAGGUGGUGCUUAUCACCUGCCAGGGAAAAUGUUGCCUUCUGAGGAGGAAAUGCUUCUUGUCACUAAAAGCUGAUGAGGAAGGAUGAUUUAAGGCACUGGGGAAACCUUGUCCUCAUUCCUAGCUGCAUUGCGAAUGCUUGGCUUUCAGCUCAUGCUGGUCCCACUGAACAGCAGGGUGAAACACAGCCUUGGUUGUAGGUGAAACCAGGACGGGCAGGACAGGAGGCUGCAACAGCCAAGAAUUUGUCUGGGUUAUGAGAGCUGUUUCAGAUUUGCCAUUAUGUGGAGGAGGCACAGUCCAUGUUCUGCAACUGCUGUGAGAGACCUUCUCUCAUGCCGGAAGCUCUCCUCCCUCUCAGACACUUGUCCUGGUCCAGCCUGCUCCCAUCUCCAUGAGACUGUUCCUGCUCUUGCCUAGCCCAAGUCCUUGGUGGGGUCUGUCAGCCCUGCAUCUUUCACCCUUCCAGGCAGGUGGACAGGGCCCAGGGGAUGCAGAUGAAGGGCUAUGACCAGCUCUGCCCAUCCUGCUGGGGAGUGACCAGAGAAACUCCUGAUCUCUGUCAUCUUCUCCUAGUGCUCCCUGGAGAAUAGAUGGUCAAAAAGUGAACUGUUUUUCUGGUAGCAUAUCACAUCCAAUUCUUGAGUCUCUGCACUGCCUACACAACCAUUGCUGUUGCUUCAAACAAGCAGUCCUAAAUUGUCGAUAAAUGCAGUAAACAACAGGCGGCUUUCUCUCAGAAGAAGUUAUAUGAAGUUGUCAUCCAUUUGACGAUGAGGAAAAAUAGAAGAGGAAAAAAAGAGUGUUUACUGGGGACACUUUGCAGCUAGAAGGAAGCUGAGUGCAAGGCCCUGCCUAUGAAUGGGGAUGACUUCUGCUUCUUAAAAGGACUAUCACUUGCAACCUCUGCUCCCUCCAGCUAUAGACAAAGGCUACCCUUGACCUCCCCAGCUUGUUCAGCACCACCUGCUACCCAGGCACACCUGGAUCCACUGCUGAGUUUCCUAGGUGUUGGACAAUGCUGGAACCAAGAACCUCCGAGCACGUUUCAUCCUCUGGUUUCCCUGAAACUUUCAGUUACACCCUGAAGUUACUGGAAUCCAUGUUCUGUUCAAGUAACCACAUAUAAACUUAUCAUGGAGAUCAGCUGAGACCUCAUGGCAGAAAUCUCGUUUGAAACAACUGGAAAUUACUUCACCUUGGCUCAAGCCACAUCACAGCAGAUACUUUCUCCUCCUUCUCCAGCCCUGCUGUGAGCCAAAGGCGUUUUCUGGGCUGCAACUUUCCUGUGCUGAAUGACCUUGAGCCUCUUGCUGCUGCCCUGUCUUUGCUUGGCUCAGCACGUGCAUCCCUUGCUCUUUUAAAUAUGCCUGCAUGCUCACCUUUGCUGUCUUCCUUUUCCUCCACAGAUGAAGGCUACACAAGAGGUUGCUGAAAUCCAGCGUUUGUUUCCAGAUAUACAUUCAUGCUUUUUAAGGAAAUGAUUGUAAGGAGCUGGAGAACCGUUGAAAUGAUGUUGCUCAAAGAUUUCCCAGCAUUGGCACAAGCUAAGCAAAUAAGGAAAAUACUGCUAUAAUCACUGCAGAGAUGGAGAGUUCUGCUUAGCUCCCAUCUUUGUAUUCAAAACUGGAAAAAUUACAAGUGCUCGAAGUUUAUCCUGUCCAGCGUGCAGUGUGCUGAAGUGGCAUUAUCUUCACUUCACUGAUAAGAAGAUUUACAUCCACACAAAGCCAGACUGGAAGGUCUGGGGUAAGGGCUGGGCCCAGAGCUGCAGAUGUGGUGAUUACCAGCUGUCUGCUUGUGGGGGUAGCUUGAGUGGAUCUGUCUCACCCCAAAGUGGCCCUGAAGCUGCAUGGAGAGAAGUCAAAUCUCCCACGGCUGGAUGAAGCCAACUCCCAGCCAUCCCUCUAUGAAUAAGCCCAACACAAAUGCCUACCAACAUUUCCCAGACUGAGCUCAGAAAUGUGCUCCCCGACACAGAGCCACCAUAUUAAAGGUGUUGAAGUGCAAGCUGUGUAUGCCUGAGACCAUCAUAUUUCUUACUAAGAAAUGAAUUAUUCGACCACUGGUACAAGUGGCUCAGAGAAGACCAUUUAUUAUGCUGCAUCUUCAGCUAGUGUUUCUUCAGCAAGUAAUCUUUGACCUGGAAAGCUGUUUCACUGAAAAUGACUAAUUUUGCCAAUUUUACUUUUUGCUUUGAAUAUGUUUUUCUGGUGGCAGUUUAAUCUAUCCUAAAAGACUUAUUUUAUACUUUACAAUAUUGGUAAAACAUAAAUAGAAAAUAGACAAAGGAAAACCUUCAUGAAGUAAAACUUCAAUUCCAUUUAUGGAGACCCUACCCCAGAACUCUGAAUUUGGAAGUGCAAAGGGAUGUAUUGGUAUGCAGAAAGUUAAAAAAAUCCAAACAAACAAACAAAAAAAUAAAAAGACAUUCCAGAAUUGA